UUCGUGUGAACAGUGGUUGAUCACGAGUUAGUCGGUCCUAAGUUCAAGGCGAAAGCCGAAAAUUUUCGAGUAAAAAAAAAUCAACAAAAUUUCACGAUUUAUAGAUUUUUAUGCACUUGAAUAAUUUUGAACGAAAGGGAAUACGGUUCCAAUUCCGUAACCUGUUGAGUAUCCGUUUGUUAUUAAAUAUGGGCCUCGUGCUCAUCCUGGCAACAGGAACGACCAUAAAGAAGCCGUCGAGAGAUAUCGGAAGAGUUUUCUUUUCUGUUUUAUAGCCGUACUACCAUGGAAGUCUUUCGCAGAGAGAUAUGGUAGAUGGGCUAGAAGAGCAUGACAUAUACUGUUGUGUCGAUAUUUUCUCCUCGGACCUUGAAAAUUUAUGGUGGGGAUACGCAAACUUCUCAACAGGCCGUACCAAUAUCCGCAGCUGGUCUCCAAGGUGAAGAGUCUCUAGUCGAUAGAAUA
rnacentral:rRNA from 1 species